GCCCGCAUCGCAUAAUGGUAUUGCAUCCGACUCGAAAUCGGAGCCCUUCGGGGCAUCCCCGUUCAAUUCGGGGUGCGGGCG
rnacentral:tRNA from 1 species